UGGCAUAACCACACCUCACACCUGCUGUUUGUGAUGCUCUGUUGCUCUUUGCAUUCUUUCACUUCUGUGUUUUGGUACUUUUUUGAGACCUAGUUGUUACUCAAUGCUUCUGCUUGCUGCUUGCCCUGAUCACUCUGCCUUAUCAUGCAUAACAACUGUGCAACAGACUUCCUGCCCUAUUUUCGCCUUGCUGAACAACACUAAACAAUGUAAAAGUACAACUCUAACAUAGCCUAAUGACAACUGAAAUUGAAGAGUUCUGCAUUCACCAGAAUCUGAAGUGCCAUGGAUUGUGUCGCCAAACAUCACAUUGUACCCAGUCUCGGAUGGGGUAUUUGGAAUCUCACCAGUAAGGCUCAUCUGCUAAAUGGCUUCUUUCCAGACAAACUGGCUUUGGAGUGGUUUCAGGACAAAUCACCACUGUGCCAAAACAAGAAGCCAAGCAGAACGAAGCUACAAAGUGAAGGGACAGAGCAGAAAACCUUUAGCCUGAGCAGCAAACUCUCAGUGUGGGGACAAGGAUCAACUUUUACCUGCAAAGCUAAUCACAAUUAUACUGAAUAUGAGAAGACAAUAAGCAUUUGUCACAAAAUUCACCUUCCAUUCAUGUGAAGAUUCCCAAGUUUAAGACUUAAGCGUCAGACUCUAAUGUGCAAGGAACAUGUUGGGUCCACACUAAUUUUGAUGCCAUGAUCUCCUGGCUGAUUAAUGGAGGGCCACAAAUGAAAAAAAUGUGCAGAGAGUAAAACACAACUCUUAUUAUCAGUAAACAUUUUUCUUGAGUCAGAGGAAGCAAGUAAAGCAUUUAACAUGCAGAGGAGAGCAAAGGUGUGUCAGAUCUGCUGAGAAGACUAUAAAUAUUGCAGUUCAAACUCCUUUGGUAGAAAUCAGGAUCUUGCCCAGAUCUGCUGAAGGGAACAACUGUCCUCAUGUGACCUCUACAUCACCUUACAAGUCAAUGUGGACCCAUCAGUGGAGCUUCUUCUGGUCCAAAGUAAGGAGUCAAGAUCACAGAGAGUCUUAUGCUCUGGAUGGGUCUUCAAUGCUCAUAUCAGAUGGUUUAACAAGUCUCAGCAAAGAUCUCCAACAACCACUGAUAUCAGCAUGAGUGUAGAUGGACAUGCUAGAGUGACCAGCCAACUUAUAAUUGAUCACACUGAGUGGAAAACAGGAAAGAUCUUCGCUUGUACAGUAUCUGACAGGUCUCUGAAUAAAAAUAUUAGAAAAAACAUCAAUAUCUGUUCAGGUAAAGUGAAAAUACUAUUAUUGUGAUACACAUUAAGAUUUUUUUGGUUUUGGUGUUUUUUUCGAGUACCUCCAUCAUCCUCACAGCUGGUUGGGGUUUAUGUUCAGGGACCAUCACCACUGUAGCAGCCUGAGAACAAAGGACCCGUGACUGUUAUCUGUCUUCUGGUUGCCCCUAGUCUUAAUGAUUUCUCCAUCACCUGGAAAUCAGCUUGCAACAAAAUUCCUGACUGUUAUGUCCUUACUAAUCCUACAGUGAGUCACAACAAUGGGACAGAGACUCAACAGAGCUUCCUUAAUGUGUCAGCAGAAAAUUGGGAUGCAGAUAAACAAGGGUUUUGUAAAGGAAAACAUCCAUGUUCCAAUCAGGGCAAUGAAGACCAUAUAAGCAAAAACAGAGUGUUUUUCAGGACCUUCAUGUGCCAACAGUGAAGAUAAUGCAACCUCUGAACUUUCUAUGUCUGACAUCCUAACACUUGUUUGCCUAGUGUCUGGAUUUUUCCUUGCUAACAUCAUAGUGUACUGGGAAGAAGAUGGCCAGACUCUCCCAUCCAUGCAUUACGUUAACAGUCCUCCAUGGAAAUACUCAGGGAGCAGCUCUUACUCUGUGAGCAGCAGACUAAACAUAUUCAAAACUGAAGACAAAAGGUCUACGUAUUCUUGUGUUGUCAAACAUGAGUCAUCUGAAGAGCCUGUUGAAACCACUAUAACUGAUGUGUUUGGAGAGCUGCUGUUUAGCAUUUAACAUUAAUCUUUUAUUUCCAUAAUAUUCAUUUGAACAAAACUGACUAAAAUUUAUCAACUUAUUACUAAAACUGUAAUGCACAUCUUUCCAGCCUCAGUGAUCUACAGCCAACCAUCAGCCAACCUAAAAAAGACAAUGAGGUUUUCACCCUCAUUGUUUUUUUCAUCAUCACCACCUUAUUGGGUAUCAUAGUUACAUUGAUUAAGAUUCUCACUGAAGGCAUCAGAACUAUGAAUGAACACAUAUCAAUGACCUGACAUACUGGCUCGUCUUUGCCAUAGCAUUUGUGUUGAACCUCAUCGAUUGCUUUUUUGCUUCCCCCUGAGUUCCUGUGCUGCUCACUAUUUCACCAUGUACCAGGACACACUGAUUGAUGGUGUGAAGUGUGAACAGCUGACACAGCCAGGCUCUUUGACUGUGCGUCCAGGUGAUCGUCCAUCACCUGUCCAUCACCUGACCAUCACCUGUCAGGCCUCUUAUUCUCUUAGCAGCGCUCGAACAUUUUGGAUCAGACAACCUGCAGGAAAAGAACUGGAGUGCAUUGGUAGUGUACAUAUUGGACACAGCACACGGUACAAAGAUUCACUACAGAAUAAGUUUAGUAUCGACAUAGACUGUUCCAACAGGACCGUGACUCUGAUUGGACAGAAUGUGCAGCCUGAAGACUCUGCUGUGUAUUACUGUGCCAGAGAACCACCCACAGUAACACAAAGCAUCAUGAGACCUGAACAAAAACCCCUCAGUGACUGAACACAUGAAGUCACAAGAGGAUGAGCCCUCAGAGCACCAAUGAUUUCAGAUCAGCACAAUAAGAAGAAAUAAGAUGUCACUUAAAAAUCAACAUCAUGUAAUUAAAUGAGUCAUAAUAAGUUGGAUAUAAUAACCAUAUAAGUCUAAACGACCAUUCUGUUGGUCUUGGUUUUUGUAACACAAUUGAAGUGUGCAAAAAAUUAUGUAUACUCUGUAUUCAUUCAAACCCUAAAGACUAAACGACACUGCAGAAAAUAAAACACCUCAACCAAUUACAUAAAUGUACAGGUUAAUUUUGCCAUGUGAAACAAAUGAAAUGAACUUUUAGUUGUUUUUUUCCCCAAAAUUUAAAUUUUAAUGUAGAUUCAGAUGUAUUUUUUUAAAUCUUUAAAUCUUAAGUAUGUAAUGGAUAUGCAGCAUAUUUAUCAUUAAGACUUCACAACUAAUUUUAACAAUCUGUAUGCUUACCAUUUAUUCAUGUUUAUUAUUCACAACAAAGCCAAAUAAAAAAUGUAAAUUGACUA